rnacentral:rRNA from 1 species
GUGCCAGCAGCCGCGGUAAUACGAGGGGAGCUAGCGUUGUUCGGAAUUACUGGGCGUAAAGGGCGUGUAGGCGGUACCAUAAGUCAGAUGUGAAAGCCCUAGGCUUAACCUAGGAGGUGCAUUUGAUACUGUGGAACUAGAGAUCGAGAGAGGAAAGUGGAAUUACGAGUGUAGAGGUGAAAUUCGUAGAUAUUCGUAAGAACACCAGUGGCGAAGGCGACUUUCUGGCUCGAUACUGACGCUAAGGCGCGAAAGCGUGGGGAGCAAACAGGAUUAGAUACCCCAGUAGUCC